rnacentral:rRNA from 1 species
GUGCAGCAGGCGCGAAUACUUUACAAUGUGCGAAAGCACGAUAAGGGAACUCUGAGUGCCUCCUAAGGAGGCUGUUCUGAUGUCUAAAAGCAACAGAAGUAAGGGCUGGGUAAGACCGGUGCCAGCCGCCGCGGUAACACCGGCAGCCCAAGUGGUAGCCACGUUUAUUGGGUCUAAAGCGUUCGUAGCCGGCCAGGUAAGUUCCUUGGUAAAUUUAGCCGCUUAACGGUUAAGCUUUCAGGGAAUACUGCUUGGCUUGGGACUGGGAGAGGUCAGAGGUACUCCGGGGGUAGGGUGAAAUCUAUUAAUCCCUGGGGGACCACCGGUAGCGAAGGCGUCUGACCAGACCAGGUCCGACGGUGAGGGACGAAGGCUAGGGGCGCGAACCGGAUUAGAUACCCCUGUAGU